GUUGGGCAAGGAGUGCUAGGUGUCCAGGUAUAUUGUCAUUUUUUUUAAAUAUUUUGUUUUUAUUUUUCAAGACAAGGCUUUCCUGUGUAGCCCUGGCUGUCCCGGAACUCAUUCUGUAGACCAGGCUGUCCUUGAAUUAAGAGAUCCACCUGUUUCUGCCUCCCAAGUGCUAGGUUAAAGGCACAUGCCUUCUCCCCCAGCUGGAAGGAGGGUUAUGGAGGUGAGCUAAGAAGAACAGAGGAGUCCUGGCCAGGGCGUGUAGACAGUGGUAUGAGCCAUGGUGGCGGCCUUCUCCUUGGGAUGUCUCCUCACCUGAGAAGUGGGACAGUCAGCGGGCUCUCUCAGACUUCUCACCUCUGCUCAUUUCUUUGGGGCACAGCAUAAAGAGUUAUAUAAAGCCCCCAAAGAUAUUCAAGGAGUGGGGAGAAGAAAGGGGGAAGGAUUGCCUUUCCUUUCUUCCUUGAUGGAGACUGAGAAAAAUUCUGCCCCUGAGCAGUUGUCUGGGAAGCGCAGAGACAGUUUGAGGGGUCUCUAAGGACUCCGGGUCUUAUUUUCAGAGGAGGAAAAACUAAAACCUGAAAACCCCACUCAAAUGUGAUUCAUCCUCAGGGAGCCGAGUUCUACGAUUUCAUUUGUAGACAUAUCAGCUUACAUUGCCCUUGAAAAUGAAGUCCAGAAGUAAUUUAGGCAUUCGUAGGCAUUAUUGUGCUUUAGCACUGGUAUUAGUCAAAAGUAAGCUGGGGCUGCGGAGAGUAAUAGAGAAAGGGAGAGGAGAUAGAGACAGAGACAGAGACAGAGAGAUAGACAUAGAGAUGGAUAGAGUUAGAGAUAGAGUAAGAGAGAGAGGGGAAGGGGAGAGGGAGGUGGUAAGUUCCUAACCUGAAUCAUUCACCCUAUGCAUGUUUGGGCUUCUUCCUUUGUUCACCUCAGUGGCUGGAGUGCCUGCCACCAACUGCAUAUGAUCCACAUUCUAAGUGGUCUUUGGUCCUUCCAUUUUCUGCCUUGUAUGCACUGUCCUCUUGGAUUGGUGGCACAAACCACAGUGGGAAGAAUGCUAGGAUGAAGGAGGGAGUCAGUUCACAUGCCUGAGAUGGGGCUUUGGUGACACAGGGUAGAGUCUGAACAAAUCCGAGGCGCUUCCUUCCUUCAGGUAUCCAAGGUCUGCUCAGCCGGGUCAUAUCUGUGUGCAAAGGGGGAAAAGGCUUGGGGCACCUCAGUUUUGCUGUCAGAGGAAGGGGCAGAUUAGGAUUAAAGCACAUUGUUUUAGUUGUUUAGGUGAACUGAAGGAUCCCCCACCUCUUCCCUGCAUUUUGUGUUUUCACUCUAGACUUGGUGAAUCCAAACAGUUGUAUGUCCUGAGCUCAAGAGCCACACAGCCGCCAAAUCCCUUGGUGCGGUACAGAAGGGACUUCUGCCAAGUGUUCUGCUGCAUCCUGCCUCGGGAGAUGGCUAAGCCUCAGCAGGGCUUUUCUGCAUUGAGGCCUGGGUUGCCUGUGCUCUGUGCUUUCAGUAGUAGCAGUGUGGCAGCAGAUGAGUGGAUGGCUGACCAUUGGUGUGCUAGAUGCCUUCCACCGGCCACUGUGGCAUUGUUCAGCUUGGAUGGGGAUGGUGGAGGGAAGGUAGAUCAAAAAUAGAGCAGAGACCAGAGGUGGGGGAGGGUGUGCAGCAUGUACCUGGCAGAGCAGACCUACUUUCCUAUGCAGUGGGCAUCAGAGGGGAUGGCAGGUAGGUUUUCCCAAGCCUCAGCAUGCAUCGUCCAUCUGAGAUACUGUGUGCCUCGCUUCUCUUAAACACCAAUUCUACUCAGAUUCUGAUGGGAUUAGCAUCCUGCAUCCGACUAUCUCUCACCAAAAAAUGUUCUGCUCUGGGGAGAGGAGAAUCCCAACUGUUUGUCACUGUGUUGGGAUUAUAGAUAUUUGUCUUUCCUUUCUAAGCUGUAUGAGCUGAAUAUUACUUUAAAAUAGAAAUGACUGUGCAAAAAGGAAAAGCUCAGACCCAGGUUUCCCUAAAGUCCAUUAAGGCUUAAACAGGCUUGCUGUCACCAAUGCAUGUGUUACAAAACACUCUGUGGUAAUUAGCUUGUAAAUGAGGCCAAAGAACGUGGAUUAAUUUUUCCCAUCGGGUAAGUGAUUGCUGAUUUAGCUUGUGUUUUGUUGAGAUGAUGUAUAUUUAUCAAGUUAUUUUACAUAUAUAUUUUAUUGAUUUGUAUUCAUUAUGUACAGUACUGGGCUUCAUAGGACCAUUUCACAUUUGUAGGUAUAAAAUGUGCCUUUCCCCCCACUCCUCAGCCUCUUCCCCCUCCUGUGAGUCCCCAUGUCUCCUGGACAGUUUCACUUCUACUGUCAUUGUGAUACCUACAUAUAUUAUACAUACAUGAUUUUAUGAAUCUGCAAAUGAGAGAAAAUGGGAUAUUUGCCCUUUAGAAAUGGAUUUAAUUUGUCUAAUGCAAUGAUCUCCAGUUGUAUUUAUUCUUAAUUUUUUUGCAAACAAUAGCAUAUAUAUUUUUUUUAAAGGUUUUUUGAAGCGGUGUUGAAGGCACAGUGCUGGGAAGGAAUCCCCCGCAGACUUGGGGGUUGCGCUUAACCUUGGAGGUUCUUCUGCCUGGAAAUCACAGGGGUGCACUAGUUUUUAGUGCACGGGCAUGCGCAUUAAAUGGUCCACUCUCACUGGGGCAGCAGUCUGCUAGCUAGAAAACAAAAUGUGACCCAGUUAGACCAUGGAUCCCCUGUCACCGAGGAAGUGACCAUCGUCCUUCCUGACAACCACGGGUUGCAAAAAUGUAAUUACCAUUUUAGCCAGGCUCUUCCCCACUCUGGAUGGAUGACCCGGUGACAAACUGCAAAGGUUAUUUAGCGUUCAGAGGACCUCACUUGUCAAAUUUAUACUUAUUAAUAGGAACAAUAAGAUGGAUUAUUUAGCAUUAGGUGCAGGUGGGUGGGACUUGGCAGCACUGGAAUUUCAAGUCCCAGGCUUCCGUGGAGAUGCGGAGGAAGGAAUUGUCUCCUUCACUCCUGCCUGCGGUGAGGUAGUGCUAGCCCUGCUGUGGUUUUUGCGCAGUGCCUGGAGUAAUUUGUUUGUUGUUUCUCCUGGCAGGGAUUCUAGUGAGACUGAACACCUCUCCGGAGCUGGGCUCUGGUCCUGUGACUAUUCUGCAGAGCCACCAGAAUCAGUACUCUGCAGAGAGCCUGGCAACCCGGGGAGACAGCUAGGAGGGAACGUUCUGGAGGCAUGAAAAGGCCACCUUUAGACAAUUAAGCUGCAGAAAGUUCUGGACACAAAGCAGCACCUUUGGAGCUAAGAGCCACAUUAGAUUGGCAUUCUUAUGGCAUGGUGCUCUGUGGACAGGGGUCGGCUGGGUCGGAAGGGUUUCACCCUGAGUUUGACCUCCAUAGUGCCCAGGUGAGCUCGUAUUCCCUCACCUGUAUUUCUGGGGACCUGUAGCCCAGCUCCACUGGUCUCUUCGCUGUACUUCACACAGCCCUGGCCAAGCUGGUCAGUCUGGAGUCCAGCUUGUGGGAGGAAGCAAUUCAGCUUCUUCCAUGAGCUCUCAUGGCUGUCAAAGUCUCAUGCUGGAAUCAAGGUCAUGACCUGAAUGGAUGGGGUGUGUGUUGAGAGGGAUAGAGUCAGAAAGAGAAGAUGGGGUGCACAAGGUAGACUGAGCUCGCUUUACUGCCUCCCCCAGUGAACAGAUAGCAUUAAUCCAGAGAAAUGCUUAGUUAGAACAGCUGGAAUGGGGAUACUCUUGGCAUCUAAUGUAUAGCCUGGGAAAAAUGCUAAAUGUUCUAUGAUUUCCAGCCUCCCCGACAAAACACUAUCUGGGCAUGGUGGCUUACAACCGCAAUCUAAGCUUCUGAGAGGCUGAGGCUAAGUUUGAGGUCAUCCUGGGCUAUAUACUGAACUCUAGGUUAGCCUGAGCUACCAUGUUAAGACUUCCAUCUCCUUAAAAAAAUUAUACCUAAACCAAUAGCAUGUCAAUUGUGCAGAGUUAAGAAAGUCAGAUCUAAGGAGAAGGGGUGGGCCAUUUGGGGGACACAUAUUUUGACCCCUGCUGACAGAGUUAAAUCUUUAUGUCUCUGCCAGGUCUUGUUGAGGUUUCUUGUUUUGUUUGUUUAUUUUCUUCCUCCAAAAUUCCAAAAUGGGAAGAGCAGGAAAAUGAGAGGCCUGGAAGUAAUUGAGGUGUUGUUUCGGCUGAGAUCAGGAAAACCACAUUGCCACAAGAGCCUUCAAGAACAGAGCUGUUGUUUACACAACAGAUACUGAAGCAUUCUCCUUCAAAAAGAAAAAAAAAUGGUUAAGC
rnacentral:lncRNA from 1 species